rnacentral:rRNA from 1 species
AUGAUCCUGGCACCUGAAUUAAGUAAAUCGAUGAGUAGAAGUUUCUUCUUUUGUUCUAUAAAGUACCCGCGCAGGCAAGAGCAGCAGCAUUCUUACGCGCUGUUGUGCAGGGAUCAGUGGAAGGCCAAGUUCUCCAAGUGCGCUUUCAGGCAGCAGAAACUCUCAUACCUGGGGCAUGUCAUGAGCGAGCAGGGUGUCGCUACUGAGCCAACGAAGAUCAAAGCUGUGGCACAAUGGUCAGCACCAACCAGCGUCAAGGAGGUCCGUAGUUUCCUGGGGAUGGCAGGUUACUAUCGCCGAUUCGUCAAGAAUUUCGGAAUCAUAGCUCGACCACUGUUUAACCUUCUCAAGAAACGUGUGCCCUUCAUAUGGACCACGGCAACAGAGACGGCAUUCCAAGUCCUCAAGCAACAGUUGAUCGAAGCAACGGUGCUUGCCCUACCAGACUUCUCCAAGACCUUCAUUGUCGAGACAGACGCCAGCGACAAAGGGAUUGGAGCGGUUCUCCAGCAAGGUGGUCAUCCGAUUGCAUAUAUGAGCAAAGCACUGAGCCCAUGGUACCAAGGCCUCUCAACCUAUGAAAAGGAGUACCUGGCAGUAAUUGUUGCAGUGGACCAGUGGCGACCAUAUCUCCAGCAUGAUGAAUUCAUCAUCUCAAUGGAUCAACGCAGCCUGAUUCAUCUAAACGAGCAGCGCCUCACUACCCCAUGGCAGCAGAAGGCUUUUACAAAACUGUUGGGGAUGUGGUUCUCGAUUCGUUACAAGAAGGGGAGUGACAACACUGCAGUUGAUGCACUGUCGCGGGCCAACACCUGUGAGCUACACACAGUCAGCUCAUGUCAGCCUGCCUGGCUUGAGGACGUCAUCACCAGCUAUGACAGCAUUCCUCAAGCACAGCGCCUUCUCGAGCAGCUUGCCAUCCACGAGGAUCCUAAGGGUCGGAUCACUUUGAAGCAAGGGCUCCUGCGUUUUCGGGAUAGAAUAUGGCUCGGAGGAUCGACAGAGAUGCAACAUCGCAUCAUUUCAGCCUUCCACGAUAGUGCCAUGGGGGGCACUCAGGUUUCCCGGUGA